UUCAAUUUUAAGAAGGUGUCUAAGGAUGUA
rnacentral:piRNA from 1 species